GUGACUUUCACACUUCAUGACUGAGAGCUGCUGCUACAGCAACUUCACCCACAGCUACCAUGACUUUGAUCCCCGUCUUCAUCUGGACACUGAUCCUCUGGACUCAAGAGUGCAGAGGUCAAGCCACAGUAACUCAGAGUCCUGCAGUGAAAUCUGCUCGUCCAGGAGAAACAGUCAGCAUCAACUGUAGAACCAGUCAGGCAGUGUACAAGUACUCAGAUGGUGAGGCGUUACACUGGUAUCAGCAGAAACCUGGAGAAGCUCCUAAACUCCUCAUUAAACUUGUAAAUCAGCGACAGUCAGGUUUUCCAGCUCGUUUCAGUGGCAGUGGAUCUGGAUCUGAUUUCACUCUGACCAUCAGUGGAGUCCAGACUGAAGAUGCAGGAGAUUACUACUGUCAGAGUUACCAUAGCAUCUCUGGCUACUGGUUCACACAGUGUUAUAGACUCAUACAAAAACCUCCCUCAGUCAGAUUGUAGAGAGACUGCACUGCUGCAGCUGGGAGCGACUGCAGGUGCUGAGUUGGAGGAUGUGAUACGACACAAUGACACUCUGAAGAAGAGAGGAUCCACACCACACUAACUCACAACUUACAUCAAAAAUCUCUCAAUAAUCAUAACACCACAGUACACAGAGUCAACUCACAUCCACUCUGAAAAAUUACAGUUUUAUAAGUUUAUAAAUUAUUGUGGUACUAUUUCUCAUGACUGAAGCUGUUUGGUGCAAAAUUGGCUCUUUUGUUUCUCCUAACAUUUGAGAUUGGAGCUGGUGUUCCUUCUCUUCACUUCCUCUUUUUUAAAGUGUAACCCACUUCAGACAAGCCUGUAGUCCUCCUGACGUCUCUCCCUCUUUCAACUCCUAUAUCUCAAAAUGUAUCAUCUCACCUUUAAAACACAAUAAUGUAAACAUAUUGUACAUAGUCAUCCAUCAUUCACCAGCGUGAGGUAUCAGCGUUAUCUGACUCUUCCUCACUCCCUCAAUCCUCCCCUCCUUCUCUUCUUUCUCUGUGGCUUUUAUCAUUCAAUGUUUCUGUAUGAAUCUCAGUGUGUUGGGCAGCUCUUCAUCUGAAACGAAAUCUCACAAGUCUGAGCUGCAGUAUAUCAAUAGAGAUGCAUCACUAAGAUAAGAUAAGAUAAGAUAAGGAGAAGAUAAGAUAAUAUAUACAACAGUGGGGAAAUUUCUAUGUUUCAACAGCAAAGAAAAAUAAAGUAGGAACAGUACAGUGUAUAAAUACAAAAGUAAAAGAAAAAGCAAUACAAUAGUUACACUUUCAAUCAAAUUUCAAAUUGCAAUAGCGAAUAUAAUAUUGCACAAUUUAAAAAGGUUUUAUUGCACAGUUGCAAUAGAUUUGAUAUAUGUUGUGACUGUUAUGGAGAACUAUUGUGUAACAACAUUUCACAGGAUAAGAAAUGUGUAGUAUUAGAAAACUAUCUGACUUUUUCUCCUCAUACUGUAUCAGAGUCACAAAAUGGGAAAUGAGUUUGAAAAGCAUGAUGAAAUAUGUAUAAAUCAUGAUUAUUAAAUUGUCCCUGAUGAGCAGGACUCAGGAAUGUCAUGUGUAGCUCAAUAAAGUGAGAGUGGUUUUAAACUCAUUUUAUUAUAACAAAUUAAAGAAAUUAC